rnacentral:tRNA from 1 species
AGCACCCCGGGCGGGGCGAGGCGUCCGGCGCCGUCGGCGACGUAGACGCGGUAGCCGGGCAGCGGCCGUCCGAUCGGGACGGACUGCUGCUC